AUAACAAACACUGAUUUAUUUAUUAAUACAAGGAAAUUGAGCUUCUUUGUUGAUCAAAACAUAUAUAGUAUUCAAUAUAAGAUGGGUAGUAAUGUUAAAUAAAGGCAACAGUAGUAUACCGCUGUUCAAAACUCAUAAAUCCAGGGACAAAAAACAAAAUCGGGGUAACAAACUAAAACCGAGGGAAACGCAUUAAAUAUAAGAGGAGAACAACGACAUAACACCGAAACGUAACGCACACAGAAACAGACCAAGCAUCAGACAAAACACCACGAGAAUAACAAAUAUAACAAGAAAACCAAAUACAUGAAUUUGGGAUAGACAAGUACCGUGCCACGUCUGAUCUCAAUAUCUCAAAAAUAAGAGAAAACACAAACGACUCAACGUUAAAAUGCAACACACACAGAAACGAACAAUAAUAUAACAAUGGCCAUCUUCCUGACUUGGUACAGGACACUUUUAAAGGGGAAUAAAAGUGGUGGGUUGAACCUGGUUUUGUGGCAUGCCAAACCUCGCACUUUAAUGGCAAAGUUAAAUACAACAUUGAAAUGACAACAUAAUAUUACAGGACUACAAUACAAAUAAAUAGGAGAACAUAU
rnacentral:lncRNA from 1 species